UGGGGAAUAUUGCACAAUGGACGAAAGUCUGAUGCAGCAACGCCGCGUGGAGGAUGACACAUUUCGGUGCGUAAACUCCUUUUAUAUAGGAAGAUAAUGACGGUACUAUAUGAAUAAGCGCCGGCUA
rnacentral:rRNA from 1 species